CGGGACACGUGGUAUCCUGUCUGAAUAUGGGGGGACCAUCCUCCAAGGCUAAAUACUCCUGACUGACCGAUAGUGAACCAGUACCGUGAGGGAAAGGCGAAAAGAACCCCGGCGAGGGGAGUGAAAAAGAACCUGAAACCGUGUACGUACAAGCAGUGGGAGCACGCUUCGGCGUGUGACUGCGUACCUUUUGUAUAAUGGGUCAGCGACUUAUAUUCUGUAGCAAGGUUAACCGAAUAGGGGAGCCGAAGGGAAACCGAGUCUUAACUGGGCGUUAAGUUGCAGGGUAUAGACCCGAAACCCGGUGAUCUAGCCAUGGGCAGGUUGAAGGUUGGGUAACACUAACUGGAGGACCGAACCGACUAAUGUUGAAAAAUUAGCGGAUGACUUGUGGCUGGGGGUGAAAGGCCAAUCAAACCGGGAGAUAGCUGGUUCUCCCCGAAAGCUAUUUAGGUAGCGCCUCGUGAAUUCAUCUCCGGGGGUAGAGCACUGUUUCGGCAAGGGGGUCAUCCCGACUUACCAACCCGAUGCAAACUGCGAAUACCGGAGAAUGUUAUCACGGGAGACACACGGCGGGUGCUAACGUCCGUCGUGAAGAGGGAAACAACCCAGACCGCCAGCUAAGGUCCCAAAGUCAUGGUUAAGUGGGAAACGAUGUGGGAAGGCCCAGACAGCCAGGAUGUUGGCUUAGAAGCAGCCAUCAUUUAAAGAAAGCGUAAUAGCUCACUGGUCGAGUCGGCCUGCGCGGAAGAUGUAACGGGGCUAAACCAUGCACCGAAGCUGCGGCAGCGACACUAUGUGUUGUUGGGUAGGGGAGCGUUCUGUAAGCCUGUGAAGGUGUACUGUGAGGUAUGCUGGAGGUAUCAGAAGUGCGAAUGCUGACAUAAGUAACGAUAAAGCGGGUGAAAAGCCCGCUCGCCGGAAGACCAAGGGUUCCUGUCCAACGUUAAUCGGGGCAGGGUGAGUCGACCCCUAAGGCGAGGCCGAAAGGCGUAGUCGAUGGGAAACAGGUUAAUAUUCCUGUACUUGGUGUUACUGCGAAGGGGGGACGGAGAAGGCUAUGUUGGCCGGGCGACGGUUGUCCCGGUUUAAGCGUGUAGGCUGGUUUUCCAGGCAAAUCCGGAAAAUCAAGGCUGAGGCGUGAUGACGAGGCACUACGGUGCUGAAGCAACAA
rnacentral:rRNA from 1 species